ensembl:lncRNA
GGUUAGUAGGGGUGAUGGUAGUAGGGGAAUGGGUAGUAGGGGUGAUGGUAGUAGGGGUGAUGGUAGUAGGGGUGAUGGUAGUAUGGGUGAUUUUAGUUAUGGUACGGGUAGUUUUGGUGAUGGUGGUAGUGGUAUGGGUAGUUGGGGUGAUGGUAGUAGUGGUACGGGUGGUAGGGGUGAUGGUAGUAGGGGUGAUGGUAGUAGUGGUACGGGUAGUAGGGGUGAGUAGUGGGUGGUAGGGAGUUACGGUAGUAGGGAGGUAGGGAGGUAGGUAGGGUGGUUGGGUGUUAGGGAGGUAGGGUUGUAGGGUGGUAGGGAGGUAGGGUGGUAGGAAGGUAGGGCGGUAGGUAGGGUGGUAGGGAGUUAGGGUGGUAGGGUGGUAGGGAGGUAGGGAGGUAGGGUGGUAGGUAGGGAGGUAGGGGGGUAGGGAGGUAGGGGAACAGGGUGGUAGAGAGAGAGCAUCAGAAAGAGAGAGAGAGAGAGAGAGAGAGGGAGAGAGAGAG